AUAACGACUCUCGGCAACGGAUAUCUCGGCUCUCGCAUCGAUGAAGAACGCAGCGAAAUGCGAUACUUGGUGUGAAUUGCAGGAUCCCGCGAACCAUCGAGUUUUUGAACGCAAGUUGCGCCCGAGGCCUUCCGGCCGAGGGCACGCCUGCCUGGGCGUCACGC
rnacentral:rRNA from 1 species